rnacentral:ncRNA from 2 species
CUGGUCAAUAGCAGCUGAGCCAUG